rnacentral:rRNA from 1 species
UACAGAGGGGGCAAGCGUUAUUCGGAAUUAUUGGGCGUAAAGGGCGCGUAGGCGGCCUGGCAAGUGGAAGGUGAAAUCCCCCGGCUUAACCUGGGAACUGCGUCUGAUACUGGGAGGCUUGAGUAUGGGAGAGGGAUGUAGAAUUCCAGGUGUAGCGGUGAAAUGCGUAGAUAUCUGGAGGAAUACCGGUGGCGAAGGCGGCAUCCUGGACCAUAACUGACGCUGAGGCGCGAAAGCUAGGGGAGCAAACGGG